UUGAUCCAGUUUAAACAUAAAAGCUGGUUAUUUUGUCUGUGUUUGAGGAAUUAAAACUCCGUUCUGUUUUUAAAUCCGAGAAUCCCUUCUAUUGUGUGCUGGAAGAUCGCUGGACUUGAAGCAACUCCAAAUGGUGGCCUGUUUGUCCAAAGCCCAGGCUGACCCUCCACCCCUUCAACCUUUGCAGCAAUGCUGGCAGCACUCAUACAUCUAUUUCCCAAAGACAACCUCUGGAUAUGAUGCUGAGCACGUGCACUCAACUUCUUUGGUCGACCAUGGCGAGGCCUGUUCUGAGUGGAACCUGUCCUGUUAAACCACUGUAUGGUCUUGGCCACCGUGCUGCAGCUCGUUGUCAGGGUCUUGUGUCCAAAGCCCGUGGUGGUGGCAGUGCAUGGCGUGUGUGGGAGCAGGUCUGUUGGGAGUGUUAAGUACCAUCAUCUCAUACACUCAGCAAACAAUAUGGAUGGAACUUUCCAGAGUUGUGGUGUCACUUUCCUGCAAAGCUUUAACCAUCAGAGAGUUAUCUUUUACUGGGGCUUUUAGCUGCAGGAGACUGAAUUACUAACAGUUUUUUUUUUGUGGAUCUGAUUUCUUCUUUCGCAGGAGUGGAUCUAAUCACAGUCUGUGAUAUUCGUCUGUGCACACAGGAUGCCUGGUUUCAGGUGAAGUCGUGUGUUCCCUGAUAGUCAAUGAUUGCUGGAGCUCUGGAAAUAGCAGGUGAGAUUGCAGGCCGGAGUCCCGUCGCUGUCCAGGGAACCAAAAUCAACCUCCUCUACUCCUGAGACCACAGUGUAACUGAGAGCCUAGACUACAUGGCUACUUGGAACAUGAACAUGUUGCAGACACAGGAUCUUAUGAAGUCAGCGCAGACAGCCCUGGAAAAGAAGAGUCCGAAAGACGUGCCCUUCUCCAAGCUUUAAAGGAGAAGAUCCAGGGCUGUUGAAGCUGUGGUGGAACUGAGACUUCAUCAUCCACAGAUCUUUAGUUCUUCUUGCUAAGUCUCAGUUUCUUUUUAGUCUUUUUAUUUUUAGACUGGUCAAAAGACCGAUUAGUGGAAGUGAAAUGAUAGAUGAACUUUUAAUUACUUGCUUUAUUAUUUGCAGGUGCCUUGUACAGUAAGACAGGGUAACUAAUACUCAAAAGCUUGUUUUGUGUGUUAACAUGUACAGUAGAUGUACAUAUUUUUUCUGGUGCUGUGUGACUGCAGAAUGUAGUGCAGUUGACACAUUAAAUUUCCUUGGAUGCUCACUUUUAACUCGAGGAGGUCACAGUUUGCCCAGACAUCUUUUUUUAAAUCCGUCAAUCCGUCACCCACACGUCAUUCUGGGGGACGAAGAGGAGGAAGCUGGACAGAUACAUUUAUUUAUUUAUUUAUCAUUGCUGUGUUUCCUCAAUCGAGUGCAGAAAGAAGAAAAACAACACAACUGAUUUAAAAUAAAAAUAUAGAAAACAAUCUAAUGUAAGGUUCUGAUCCGGUUUGCUUUCAGCAGGAAGGCUGUCCUCUUUCCUGUUGCUCUUUCUCUUCUAUUAGUCCAUUUGUCCAGUCUGAAUCGGUUUGAUUGUUUGAUUCGUUUCGAGACGAUUCGGAGUCAAAUCAUUUUCUAGUGAGAGUCGCACACUUCCAAACGAACUAGACUGAGAUGAGUAUUUGAUUCUCACUAGAAAGUGAUUUGACUCUGAAUCAACUCGAAAUGAAUCAGUCAAACUGAUUCAGACUCUAUAAAAGGACUAUGAGAUGUGAUUAAGAUAUAUAUUCCAAUGUUGUCAGAGAAACUCUGACACAACAGUACAUCCUGACCAUUGGUACUGUGUACACAUCAACAUACACGCACGUCUCCAUGCUGGACAUCUCAGGAGCUUUCACACACAGUGCUAGGAAUAUCCCGGGACAGAGAAACGCACCUCCUAAGUGAGCGAGUUUAGCGUCAACCGGUGAAAUUUGCUGUAGCGUGAACACUUCGCCUCUGUGAGCUUCACUCUCCGUCAGGUUCACUGUAAUUAGACAUAAAAGUACAUAAUGUUUAUUUUUCAUACAUUUAGGAUUUAAUGUUGUUUUUUUUUUUUACUCUUCGAGGAACAGAAAUGAUCUUUUGAGGCAGCUUCUUCAUCACUACCUGCUCCGUUUGACUCAAAAAUGUAACGACCGGUUUCAAAAAGUCACGAUGUCUUCAGUUCAUGUGAUUUUACUGUUGAAUUUAAACAGGAAAUGUGAAAUAUUUUUUUCCUUUGUUUCCUCUACUGUCUUUUUGCUGUGAUCUUGAACAUGGUUGUAAUUUUAUUUUAUUUUUUUUAAAUAAAUAAAUGAUCAUUCUAUUCUUUCUCACUUUCCUUGUCCUAAUUGUCCUGUAUCUGUUAAAUCCGUUUCAUCUCUGGUCUUUCUGUCUGUAUGAACACUUGUAGAAAUGACUUGUAGUCCAUAUUUUUAAAUGAUUUUAUUCAUGAUUUUGAAUUUAAAUAAAGAUAUUCUUUAAUUCUGUAUUUUGUCAUUUAAUUAUCAUUAGAAAUCAGAAGAUCAGAUUAAAGCCACAGCUUCUUUACCUGCCAAAGCUGUAAAACUUUCAAUAAACCAGUCAAUAGAUCAGCUGAAUAAAUGUAGAUUUUUAUUUACUGAUUAGAUGUAUUGAUGGUGUUGAUAGAUUAUUUGAAGAUUUUUAUUGAUCUUGGACAAUCAUUCAGUUAAAUAUUGAAAAAAACUUGAUAAAUAGUUGUUUAAAUAAAUGCAGUGUAAUGUACUG